rnacentral:rRNA from 1 species
GAGUUUGAUCCUGGCUCAGGAUGAACGCUGGCGGCGUGCUUAACACAUGCAAGUCGAACGAAAAUGUCUAAUCUUUUGAUUGAAGCGCUUGCGCAGAUUGAUAAUAACCGGAUAUUUUAGUGGCGGACGGGUGAGUAACGCGUGGGUAACCUGCCUUAUACAGGGGGAUAACAGUUGGAAACGACUGCUAAUACCGCAUAAGACCGCAGUAUCGCAUGAUACCGUGGUAAAAACUGAGGUGGUAUAAGAUGGACCCGCGUCUGAUUAGCUAGUUGGUGAGGUAAUGGCUCACCAAGGCGACGAUCAGUAGCCGGCUUGAGAGAGUGAACGGCCACAUUGGGACUGAGACACGGCCCAAACUCCUACGGGAGGCAGCAGUGGGGAAUAUUGCACAAUGGGGGAAACCCUGAUGCAGCGACGCCGCGUGAGUGAAGAAGUAUUUCGGUAUGUAAAGCUCUAUCAGCAGGGAAGAAAAUGACGGUACCUGACUAAGAAGCCCCGGCUAACUACGUGCCAGCAGCCGCGGUAAUACGUAGGGGGCAAGCGUUAUCCGGAAUUACUGGGUGUAAAGGGUGCGUAGGUGGCAUGGUAAGUCAGAAGUGAAAGCCCGGGGCUUAACCCCGGGACUGCUUUUGAAACUAUCAAGCUAGAGUGCAGGAGAGGUAAGUGGAAUUCCUAGUGUAGCGGCGAAUGCGUAGAUAUUAGGAGGACAUCAGUGGCGAAGCGACUUACUGGACUGUAACUGACACUGAGGCACGAAAGCGUGGGGAGCAACAGGAUUAGAUACCUGGUAGUCCCGCCGUAACGAU